UAAAAAAAAAAAAAAAAAAAGGGAAAAUUCCCACACCAGCAGCCUCAUGCGGCCAUAAUUGACCAACACUUGAGAGGAGGUGGAAUAGAGACAGCGUUACUGUUGCAUUUCAUUCCUUUUUCUGGUUUAUUGCUUUUCGCGUUUGCGAGGCGCACUCUCCUUCCUUUCUUCCUGCUUGUCACUUCCGUCCACAGAAAUGGAAGAUAGUGCCGUUUAUAACUCCGAUCAGAAGCCCACGAUCAUGGUCACCAACGACGACGGUAUUGACGCA
rnacentral:misc_RNA from 1 species